UGCGUAGGCGGAAUAUUAAGUCAGUGGUGAAAUCCUGCGGCUCAACUGUAGAACUGCCAUUGAUACUGAUAUUCUUGAAUGUAGUUGAGGUAGGCGGAAUGUGUAAUGUAGCGGUGAAAUGCUUAGAUAUUACACAGAACACCGAUUGCGAAGGCAGCUUACUAAACUAUGAUUGACGCUGAGGCACGAAAGCGUGGGGAGCGAACAGGAUUAGAUACCCUGGUAGUCC
rnacentral:rRNA from 1 species